rnacentral:lncRNA from 10 species
CGCCCAUGGCGCGAUCUUGGCUCUCUGCAAGCUCCACCUCCUGGGUUCACGCCAUUCUCCUGCCUCAGCCUCCCGAGUACCUGGGACUACAGGCGCCCGCCACCACGCUAGGCUUUUUUGUAUUUUUAGUAGAGACGGGGUUUCACCGUGUUAGCCAGGAUGGUCUCGAUUUCCUGACCUCGUGAUCUGCCCGCCUCGGCCUCCCAAAGUGCUGGGAUUACAGGCGUGAGCCACUGUGCCCGGCCAGGGGCCCGGACUUCUGAUUGCGUUUGUGUGAGGUGAAGACCCCGACGCAGACUCUUCUUUUCAAGCUGCCAAGCAUAAGAAUGGAUUUUUCAGCCACAUAGGAAUUGUGUUGGUCGCACUAAUUGGACCUCAAAUAGCAUUUAAACACAUUCCAAAUUGGAAACCUCAUCUUCUCAAUUAAAUAAAAUUGCGUUUGUCCUAAUUUGAAUUCUUACAACUGAACAGUGAAAAAUACCUUUCCAAGUUUUAGUAAGAACACUCCUGGGCUUGAGAGGUAACAAGCAACCCCUUCCGCAGAGAGUGGCAGGAGAGGCCUUUCCUGCAUCCGGCACAGGCGCGGCGGUCUCCCCCCAUCCGGCACAGGCGCGGCGGUCUCCCUCCAUCCGGCACAGGCGCGGCGGUCUCCCUCCAUCCGGCACAGGCGUGGCGGUCUUCCCCAUCCGGCACAGGUGUGAAAUUUAAAGGCUUGGACGGAGUUUCCUUUUUCCUUCUCUUGGAUUUGUUCUUUAUCAGAUUUAAAUCUGGACCUCUCCCUGUGCAGGACCCUCAUCACCGGGCUGUAGGCCUGAGCACUGACCCUACCGUUCUUUCCUCCGCUCCCAUUCCAGAGAGAACAUCAGGCCGUGGGCACCCACUUCUCAGUUAUCUCAUGGCUUGGGCUUGGGACAGGCCUGCAG